AUUGAACGCUAGCGGCAGGCCUAACACAUGCAAGUCGAACGAGCGGCGGACGGGUGAGUAAUGUCUGGGACUCUGCCCUGUAGAGGGGGAUAACUACUGGACACGGUGGCUAAUACCGCAUACUAUCGGAUGCGCCCCUAUGGGAUUAGCUAGUUGGUGGGGUAAAGGCUCACCUAGGCGACGACCCCUAGCUGGUCUGAGAGGAUGACCAGCCACACUGGGACUGAGACACGGUCCAGACUCCUACGGGAGGCAGCAGUGGGGAAUAUUGAACAAUGGGCGAAAGCCUGAUGCAGCCAUGCCGCGUGUAUGAAGAAGGCCUUCGGGUUGUAAAGUACUUUUAGCGGGGAGGCGUUAACUGCAGAAGAAGCACCGGCUAACUCCGUGCCAGCAGCCGCGGUAAUUC
rnacentral:rRNA from 1 species